GACAGAGGAGACAAGCGUUGUUCGGAAUCAUUGGGCUUAAAGGGCGUGCAGGCGGCGGCGCAAGUGUCGAGUGAAAUCCCAUCGCUCAACGAUGGAACGGCUCGGCAAACUGCGUCGCUUGAGGUCGGUAGAGGUGCUCGGAACUCUAGGUGGAGCGGUGAAAUGCGUAGAUAUCUAGAGGAACGCCUGAGGCGAAAGCGGGGCACUGGGCCGAUUCUGACGCUGAUACGCGAAAGCGUGGGGAGCAAACAGG
rnacentral:rRNA from 1 species